rnacentral:rRNA from 1 species
GUGAGGAAUAUUGCGCAAUGGAGGCAACUCUGACGCAGCCAUGCCGCGUGCAGGAAGAAGGCGCUACGCGUUGUAAACUGCUUUUAACCGGGAAGAAACCCCAGGACGUGUCCUGGGUUGACGGUACCGGAGGAAUAAGCACCGGCUAACUUCGUGCCAGCAGCCGCGGUAAUACGAAGGGUGCAAGCGUUAUCCGGCUUCAUUGGGUUUAAAGGGUGCGUAGGCGGAGCGUUAAGUCAGUGGUGAAAUCCUGCAGCUUAACUGUAGACUUGCCAUUGAUACUGGCGCUCUUGAGUGCGCUUGAAGUGGGCGGAAUGUGCCGUGUAGCGGUGAAAUGCUUAGAUAUGGCACAGAACACCAAUUGCGAAGGCAGCUCACUAAGGCGAUACUGACGCUGAGGCACGAAAGCGUGGGGAUCGAACAGGAUUAGAAACCCGUGUAGUCC